GGGGCUGAUUCUGGAUUCGACGGAAUUUGCGAAACCCAAGGUGCAUGCCGAGGGGCGGUUGGCCUCGUAAAAAGCCGCAAAAAAAUAGUCGCAAACGACGAAAACUACGCUUUAGCAGCUUAAUAACCUGCUUAGAGCCCUCUCUCCCUAGCCUCCGCUCUUAGGACGGGGAUCAAGAGAGGUCAAACCCAAAAGAGAUCGCGCGGAUGCCCUGCCUGGGGUUGAAGCGUUAAAACGAAUCAGGCUAGUCUGGUAGUGGCGUGUCCGUCCGCAGGUGCCAGGCGAAUGUAAAGACUGACUAAGCAUGUAGUACCGAGGAUGUAGGAAUUUCGGACGCGGGUUCAACUCCCGCCAGCUCCACCA
rnacentral:tmRNA from 2 species